AAGGUCCCUAGGUUACAGUAAGACACAGAAAACGCCUAUUAAAACAAAUUGAAAGCCACUUUCACAUUUAUGAUUUCCACACUUUGCAUUUUUACAUUUGCAAUGUAUUUAUAAUGAGGUUAAGAAUGCUUGUGAUUUACCAGUCCUCAUCUUUUCUGUCAUAGGUAAAAAACAUCCAUGAGAACAUAUGCAUAUGGAGUAGGCCACAUGCUAGUUUUCUAGGUACCACAUAUAUUUCCAUUUAAAUAGAAAAACACCGAUUCUAGCUUUAAAAGAGAAAAUUACAGAGAAGAGGCUAAGCAAAGUUGGCAUUAUUUCUCCUUUGGCUUUCCUAGAGCAGCAUUGUCCAAUAAAGUAGCCAUCUGCCACAUGUGCUGCUGGACACCUGCAAUGUGGCUAGUGUGACCAAGAAACUGAAUUUUUCAUUUUAUAUACUUUUAGUUACAUUAAAUAGCUGCAUGUGCCUAGUAGAUACUGAGUAGACUCUGAUAAGACAAUUCUUAGGGCUUCCCAAAGGUUGGAAAGUGGCUGAGGUACCAGAGAGUUUGGCAACUCUUUUUCUGCUGCAUCUGGCCCUGUCUCUCUCUAGCCCACCUCAUCUUGUCCAGUCUCCCUAUCAUUAAUAUAUCCCAUCCAUACUGGGCUUCUUUUUGUCCCCAAAUGCAGGACGAGUUCCCUAAAUGAGGCAAGCUUGUUUGCACUGUAUACCCUUUGCACUUAGCUGUUCCGCUUUGCCUCCAGUGUUCUUCCAGUUUUGCAUAGCUGGCUCCUCUUCAUUCAUUCUUAGCCCAAACGCUCUCUCUUCAGAGAGUUCUUUCCUGACCACUCUAAUCUUCCAAAGUAUUUCUGGUGGGGAGGACAUUCAAUAACCAAAUUCAUAUACAGCCAUCCCUUGGGAUCCAUGAUUGGUUCCAGGACCCCCCCUCAGAUACCAAAAUCCAAAGAUGCUCAAAUCCCUGAUAUAAAAUGGUGUAGAUUUGCAUAUGCACAUGAUCCUAUAUACUUUAAAUCAUCUCUAGAUUACUUAUAAUACAUAAUACAUUGUAAAUGCUAUGUAAUAGUUGUUAUAUUUAGGGAAUGAUGACAAGGAAGUUUGUAUGUUUAGUACAGACACAACUAUCCAUUUUAAAAAAAAAAUCUCUGGAUGGUUGAAUCCACAGAUGUGGAACUUACAGAUACAGUCAUAUACAAAAAUAACAAAUAACCAAGUGGAGCUUGUCCUAGUAACACAAGGUUGGUUUAACAUUUUAAAAGUAAUCGAUGUUAUUCACUAGAGUAACAGAACAUAGGAGGGAAAAACUUGAUCAUUCCAACUGAUGCAGAAAAAGCAUUGGACAAAUAUUCAAACCCAUUGGUAAAACAAUCUAGAAAUAUUAAGGAAUUUAUUUAACCUGACAAAGGGCAUACACAAAAACUUAAAUCCCUAACAUUACACACUUAAAUGGUGAAAGGCUAAAUUUUUUUCUAUUGAGGUCAAAGCAAGGAUACCUGUUUUCACCACUUCUAGUCAAAGGGUUCUCUUGGAAACAAUUUUACUACUUUUCUGAUAUCUGCCUCUCAAUUUUGUGUUUUCUCUUAUGUCUUUUUCAAUUUGAAAAUCUGAUGUUUUUUACACAGAAUAUCUUUGGGAAUGUUUAUAACAAGAACUAGAAUUAAUGAUUUACAAGGCUGCAAAAAUACACAAAGUAUUCUUGUAAGCAGCAAACAACUGGAAAAUAAAUUCCAUUUACAGUAGUUCCAAUAAGGCAAAUAUCUAAAAAUAAAUCUAACAAAAGACAAGUCCUUUAUACUACAAAACUUGACUGAAAAAAAUCAUGUGAAUAUUAAUUAAAAAAUAUGUGAAUAUUAAUAUGGCAAUUCUGCCCAAAUUAAUGUAUAGAUUUAAUGCACUCACAACCAAAAUUUCUGGCUGAUGUGUUGUAGAACUAGAUAAAUGGAGUCUAAAAUGUAUAUGGAAAUGAGGGGCUCUAAAAUAAAGUAAUUUUAAGAAAGGUGUACAAAGUUGUAGGACUUACCUAACCUGAUUUCAGAUCCCACUAGAAAGCUACAGUUCUCAAUACAGUUUAGCAUUGGUAGAAAUGUUUGUAGCUCAAUUGAAUAGAACAGAGAGGAUCUAGAAACAGACCCACAUAUGUAUAGUCAACUAAUUUUUUUGGCAGAGGUACAAUGGCAAUAUAGUAUGCACCUCCCAACUCUAGUCAGUGGGCCAAAUGCCAUCAUCCUUGGUCGGAAUGAGUUUUCAGUCACUGCAACACUUUAGUCGUGUAUAGGAUUUCACUGUUAGUACUUUCUUCAGAGUAAUAUCUAUGUUUUAUAGCUACAUACACUUCUGUUGUCAUAACUAUCUUCAUUGCAUCACCAGUUUAGAGAUUUGUCCUCUGAAAUGAGAAUCACGGUUCUAUGAGAGGCCAAUCUAAAACUAAUUUAGAGAUACCUCAAUUCAGUGUAAAUAAAAUUUCAAUAACAUUUACAGAAAAUGCUACUUCCUUUGGGCUGCAUUAAGUUCAAGUGAGUGGAAAUGGGAUCUUUUUGAGAUAAUCUAUGCAUUAAAUAAAACCUUAGGCCUUUAGGCCAUAAGCAGGCACUGCAUACUCAGUUUGCAAAUAUUCUAAUAAGUAUUAAAGGAGACAGAAAAAAGGAUAUGGUGUCUGGGCUAAGAAGCCAACAAUCUAAUUUGGGAGAUAAGGCAAUCAUACACUUUUCCUCCUUUUCUCUCUAUUCUCUUCUUUAUUAAGCCUACUAUUGCCCAGUUCUGAGUCACACUUUGGGAGACACACUAGUACUCCCAGCCUCUUCACACAUAAAAGUGCUAGAGAACAAUCAGUGUGAACCUGUGUGUUAUAGACUGCAAAUCCUACAUGAAUUCAGAGGUGAGAAAUCUCAUAAUAGGCUGGUGUUGUCAUUCACCUGAGGUAUCAGAGACAGCUAUAUCUCACCACAUGCAGAGGGAUAUAACAGCAAAUGCUGCUCACUGCCAAAAGGAGAUGGAAAUGUUCCAUUUAUGUCUGCCGAGUAAUCUUAUUUGAAGAUUCAAACUUCUGAGUGUGUAACAGAGGUGUCUUACAAGUCAUACAUAAUAUGAGACAGGUUAAUUAAGGAUUAAAUAAGAACAGAGAGCAGUUACAGGAAUGCCAAGGCCAGCAGGCAAUGGAGAUGAGUAAAUUUUCUUCACUGUCUAGAAAGCACAAUGGUGCACGUCUUGUUCUGUGGCUAUGUUCACUCUUACAGCAAAUCGUACAGUAAGCCAGGAAUCACCAUGAGGCUGAGCCAGAGUUCUCCUUUGCAAUGCUGUUAUGUAAAAAAAGUUAGAGAAAUUUUUGCUUUUUUUUUUUUGGCAUAAAAACUAUUCCCACUGGGUCUGGAUAAUAUUGAGCCACAAAUAACUACUAGCACUUAUGAGGAGAAAACCUCUUUAAGGCCCUGGAGUUUCCUGAUUCUGGCUGAAACAUGGCAUAAAACCAACAACCCAGGGAGUGAGGAUUAAAUGAAGCAUAUUUCAUUUGCUCUACUAUAUUCUGAUAAAAAGGGGAUAAUUAUUAUAAAAAUGUAUUUAUAUAGUUAGCUGCAAGCAUAUUUGGGGGACAUUACAGUAGUUAAAAGCACCAACUUUUAAAAAUACAUGAAUUACGUUAUUUUCUAAUAAUUUUUAUAUCACUUAUACACUGAUACAUGUUCUUUAAAAAUUUAAACACAAAAGAAUGUGACCAAACGUUUCCCAUCAGACUUUGCCAGUUUCAUUUGACUCAUUGUUAUACAUUUAGAUACAUACAUUAUUAUAAAAACUUGUACUACAUGUAUAUAUUUGUUUACAAACCUGACUUUAAUUGUACAUUUCUUGUUCUGACAUUUAUUCUAAUAUCAUUUGAUGUCCUUCAGAAAAUGUUAAUAAUUUCCUCCACACAGGCCAAGUGUACUCCUUGGCAGAUUUAUUUACUUUUUUUGUUGACAACUGCGAGUAUACGGUUCCAUUACUUCUUUCCCCUAUUAUUCUUAGUUGACAUAUAAUAAUCGUACAUAUUUAUGGGACAGUGAUAUUUUGAUAUGUGUAUACAAUAUGUAAUGAUCAAAUCAGGGUAAUGAGCAUAUCUAUCAUCUCAAACAUUUAUCAUUUGUGUCAUGAACACUGAAAUCUUCCCUUCUGCCUUCUUGAGAAUAUAGAAUAAAUUAACCUUAUUCAUUCUACACUGCUACAGAACACCAGAACUCUUUCUAUAUAGCUAUAUUUUUGGUAUCUACAAACCCAAUCUCUUUCCAUCCUCCCCACCUCUCUACCCUUCCCAGUCUCCUGUACCUUUCAAUUCUGCUCUCUUCCUUCAUGAGCUCGAUUUUUUUAGCUCCCAUAUGAGUGAGAACACGCAGUAUUUAUCUUUCUCUGCCUUACUUAUUUUGCUUAACAUAAUGUACUCCAGGCUCAUCCAUGUUGCUGCAAAUGACGGGAUUUCAUUCUUUUUAAACAGGUAAAUAGUAUUCUAUCAUGUAUGUAUACACACCACAUUUUCUUUGUUGAUGGACAUUUAGGUUGAUUCCUUAUCUUAGCUAUUGUGAAUAGUGCUUUAAUAAACAUAGGUAUCCCUUUGAUAUACUGGGUUUCUUUCCUUUGGACAAAUAUGCUGGAUCAUAUGUUCUACUCUUAGUUUUUUUUCUUAAGAAACUUCCCCACUGUUUUCCAUAAUAUAUAUAUUAAUUUACAUUCUCACCAACAGUGUAUAAGAGCUUCCUUUUCUCUGCAUCCUUGCCAGCAUUUGUUAUUUGUUUGUUUGUUUGUUUGUUUUUUGGAGAUGGAAUCUUGCUCUGUCGCCUGGGCUGGAGUGCAGUGGCACGAUCUCGGCUCACUGCAACCUCCAUCUCCCACGUUCAUGCGAUUCUCCCACCUCGGCCUCCCAAAGUGUUGGAAUUGCAGGUGUGAGCCACCGCACCUGGCGUUGUCUUUUGAUGACAGCCAUUCUAACUGGGGUGAAAUGGUAUCCCACUGUGGUUUUGAUUUGCAUUUCCAUAAUGAUUAGUGUUGAGCUGUUUGAGUUUCUUGGAUAUUCUGGAUUUUAGUCCCUUGUCAGAUGAAUAGUUUGCAAAUAUUUUCUUCCAUUCUACAGGUUGUCUCUUCACUAUGCUGAUUGUUUCCUUUGCUGUGCAGAAGCUUUUAAAUUUAAUAUAGUCCCAUUUGUCUAUUUUUGUUUUAGUUGCCUGAGCUUUUGAAGUCUUAGCCAUAAAACCUUUGCCUAGACCAAUGUCCUGAAGCAUUUCUCCUAUGUUUUCUGAAGUAGUUUUAUAGUUUCAGAUCUUAUUUUAAGUCUUCAAUCCUUUUUUAUAUAUGGUAAAAGCAUCAACUUUUAAGUAUUACAUCAUUUAUUAGCUCUUGGAGGUUUGGAAAUUUACUUACUCUUAGCUUUAGUUUUCUCAUUUGUGAAAUGGGGAUAAUAAUUGUACCUACAACAUGAGGUUUUUGUGAGAAUUAAAUGAAAUAUAUAAACCACUUAAACAGAAAGUAGUCAGUGUCAAUAAAUGUUAGUCACACACACAUACAAAACUGUACGUUCAUCAUAGGAAGACUUGAAUUUAGCCUCAGAAACAAUGCAUCGGGGAAUCUGCCUCUUUUCCCUUUCUAAUUAGAUUCAACUAAAUUUGACAAUUUUCUCUUCACAUGAAUAUAAAAGACACUCAGUUUAGUUCUCCUAAAACCAACUUAAAUAGUAUUUACUAUAUGCUGGGUACUAUUUGAAGCACUUUUUAUACGUUAAGUCACUCAGAAAUUACUGUACUUAUGAUCUCCAUUCCUAUAGAUGAUAAAACUGAAGCCCAGGAAGCUAAUCAACUUGCCCAAGGUCACAAAGCCCGUAAGCGGAGGAAAGCAGAAAUUGAAUCCCAGCAGCGCAGCUCCAGAGUCUGUAAUUUUAGCCACCUACUAUGCUUCUCAAUUUAGCUAAUAAUUCUCUUUCAGAAUGUAAUCAAAUGACACACACCUUAACCCAUGGCCAAUGGCUAUAACUUUUGAACUUUAAAUAAGAGCCAAAAUGGAUGACCUUUAGGAAAGGAAGUGACACUUCAGACUCCCUCCCUGCCCCCUAAAAAACAACAAAACAACCUACAUAAUACACAUAUAAAAAUCUGUUUUCUAAUGAAGCAGCCAAAUGUCACCAACGGCUUUGAAACAAUAUGAGUGUCCUGAUGAAGGACAGUAGGAUUGCCUGUUUCUGGCAAAAUUUUGCACACAGUAACAGAAGUGGAACCAUAAACUGUCUCUUAGAGCACACCAAGAAACUGAGGUUGGGCAAGGUGGGGUGUCUUUGGCAAUAGAGGUGGUAUGUUGAGCCCUUUUUUAAAAAACAAAAACAAAAACAAGGCAAUACCAUAGCCACUAUUUAGCUGAAAGUGAUGGGAUCAGAGAUUGACCAAAAAAUAAAUGGCUAGCCAGCUUCUUCUGCAUGUCAGAUGUUGCUUAUUUCCAUUUCAGAAUCUACCUUAUUUCCUUUGAACAGAAUACAUAAAUAUGGAAUCUCCCUACAUUUCUCAUUUCAGUGCACUGCUGAUCUCACUGUGUUUUCCACUCAUCAUACUGUUCCUCACCUCUUCUCUUCCCUUUGCGACCUCCUUUACCGCACUUCAUACCUCUCUCUGGCAAGUUCUGUGCCCAUUACUAACAGGGCACUUAUUUCUAAAAGUGGCCCCAAAGGAAGCCUGCAGCUGUAAAUUAGUACCAUUAUGGAAGCGUGUCUGUUCUCUCUCUUUGAAGAACUGUUCCAGUGCCACAGACUUCUGGGAGGAUGAAAACAGAAGUCCCGCCUCUUUGAAUGCAGCUAUCAACUGAUGUAGAGUGAGAGCAUAAUUUGUGCUUUUUUGUUCAGGGUUGGUUCAAUGCCCUACAGAUAUUUAUUGUGAGAGCAAAUGACUGCUUAUUCUUGAAGGAUCUCUCCUGCUACCUGUCAGGACGCUCAGAAUACAGUCUUCCCAUUUACUUAAAGCCACUGUUAAAAUGCAUGUAUGUUACUUGUGGGGGGGGGGGAGGUACAUAUUAUACCACUUACUCAUAUUUUAGCAGAAAUUAUUUGAAUAGAUAAUUGAAUAGACAUCACAGUCUUAAGGGAUUAGGAGGACAGGGCUGAUAUGUUCUGACAGUGGGAAAAAAUAAGAGAAAACUGGUUGAGCAGGCCUGGGUGAGGCAUGAAGUAGGCUUUUAAGGAAUAGUCAAUUUGGGCACUGGGAGAAUUCUGAAGGUUAUGACAGAGCACUGGGUGGGGACAACAAUGCAGACAUAACUUAUAAAAAAAUUUGUAUAGGGCUAAGCCCUGCUGUAUUUAUUCUCUAUCGGGUUAUUUCGUCUCAAUAGCAGAGGAAGAUCCUACUGGUGGCUUGGAUGCCUCAACCAUUGAGUCCAUUUACUAUAUUGGAGUAAGAUUCCUCUCUCUGGAGAAACAGAGGCCUGUGGUGAUUCCCUUCAAUGAGGUUGCUGCCUAAUGGCUGGAACACAAAACAACCAAGUUGUUGCCUGACACAGCUGACUGAAUGGGAAUCACUUAUGGAAAAUACUGCAAGUCAUCUGGCUUCCCUUAAAAUGGCCAUGCUCAGCACAGAGAAGUGCUUGCUGCUUUUGGAUCUUUUAUCUCAUUUCCUUGGGUGAGUUCCCUGUAAGAGAAUUCUGGUUGGACAUUUACAAGUGCAGAUUCCACAUAUUCUUUUCUUUAGCUUAGAAAUCAUAUUCCUAGAUAAAGAAAGAGAACUCAUACUAAAUAUGAAUGUUGAGAUAACUCGGAACCAAACAUAUAGUGAUAAAGCUUGUCUUAAAUUUACCUGAAAAACCCAAGUGGACCUUUCUUUGCAUUUAAUUACUGUGAUUAAUCUGGAUGGUUUAUAGUUUAUGAAAUGGGUACUAAAUUUGUAUAGUCAGAUAUAAAUUUCUCUCAGUCAAUAUUUCUGCUCCCUAUCACCUGUGGGCCACAUUGUGAAAUGAAAUACCAAAUCUCCAGGCACAAAUUUUAAAUAAAUAUUGAUCUAUUGUUAAACCUCUUAAUAAAGAUUCUGGUCUAAAGGAACUUGGUGGGGGUACAGAUUAAAAACAUUUAAGUAAAUGUUUUAAUCUCUUCAGUUCACAGAAACAUAUAAAAAAUUUUUUUCUUUUUAUUUUAUUAUUAUACUUUAAGUUUUAGGGUACAUGUGCACAAUGUGCAGGUUAGUUACAUAUGUAUACAUGUGCCAUGCUGGUGUGCUGCACCCAGUAACUCGUCAUUUAGCAUUAGGUAUAUCUCCUAAUGCUAUCCCUCCCCCCUCCCCCCACCCCACAACAGUCCCCAGAGUGUGAUGUUCCCCUUCCUGUGUCCAUGUGUUCUCAUUGUUCAAUUCCCACCUAUGAGUGAGAACAUGCAGUGUUUGGUCUUUUGUCCUUGCGAUAGUUUACUGACAAUGAUGAUUUCCAGUUUCAUCCAUGUCCCUAAAAAGGACAUGAACUCAUCGAUUUUUAUGGCUGCAUAGUAUUCCAUGGUGUAUAUGUGCCACAUUUUCUUAAUCCAGUCUAUCAUUGUUGGACAUUUGGGUUGGUUCCAAGUCUUUGCUAUUGUGAAUAGUGCCGCAAUAAGCAUACGUGUGCAUGUGUCUUUAUAGCAGCAUGAUUUAUAGUCCUUUGGGUAUAUACCCAGUAAUGGGAUGGCUGGGUCAAAUGGUAUUUCUAGUUCUAGAUCCCUGAGGAAUUGCCACACUGACUUCCACAAUGGUUGAACUAGUUUACCUUCCCACCAACAGUGUAAAAGUGUUCCUAUUUCUCCACAUCCUCUCCAGCACCUGUUGUUUCCUGACUUUUUAAUGAUUGCCAUUCUAACUGGUGUGAGAUGGUAUCUCACUGUGGUUUUGAUUUGCAUUUCUCUGAUGGCCAGUGAUGAUGAACAUAUCAAAUUUUACUGGGUAAUUUAAUAACAAAACUGAGCUCUGUCUUAAGCAAACAAAUUAAAGGCCACUAGCUGUCUGAGGCUACAAUAAAAUGCACUACAAGGACCUGGCUCAGAAGUUAGUCUCAGUAUUGAUGGCAAUAGCGUCUACUCCUAAAAGACUUCUGGAAGAGAGAUUUAAAAAACAUACACCCGCUCCCAUUCUGAGACUAUGAAGUGAAAACAGAAGUACUUGCCUGAGUGACAAAUAACAUAACUUAAAAUGUUAUACUUGGAUGCAAUAAGUUACCUGAGCAACAGACAGAAAAAAGUGACAAAACCACUUCUUACUGAAUAGCCGUCAUGAUAAUGGCUGUCAUUUAUUGAGUCCUUUAUAUGUGCCAGAUACCAUUUUAAAUGUCUUUCAUAUAACCCAUGCUCUUUCAAUACUCAACUUCAUGCAUACUAAUCUGUACACUAAAUACUUCCACAGAUUUUUUCCAUAAGCAGUGAUACAAACAUUUGCAUUGUUGGAAGUUCUGGACUAGGGAUUAACAGAGUUUUCACCCAGUGUUUUCUUUAAUAAGCUGUAUAAGCUUAUGUGUUCCAUAUUUUCCUGGACCCUGGAAAUGAGAGCACCAGUUCUUGAUUUUCUGAGCAUGAGGGCUGCUGAAUGAUGUCGAACAAUUUUAUGAUCCUUUGCACCACACAUCAACCCUGAUGUCAUGUUUUAUAAUGGCUGACAGCAAAAAUACAACAUGAUGAAAAGCUACUAAGAAUUUGACAAUGUUUUGAAGUGAAUUUACACUCUACUAAUCACAACAGUAAAAGAAUAGUGCACAUAGAUAGAUAUAUGCAAGACAUUAUUCUGUAUCAGGUGAUGCUGAAUAGACACUUGGAACACUUGCAAUAAUUUGGAGGAACCACGGGUCCAUGGUGCACCAGCUGGUGGCUAGCAUAUGACCCUUUCAACUCUAACGUCCUGUAUACUCCAGGUUAAAGGCACUGUCUUCCUGUAACUAGCCAGAUGAAUCUAGCCUCACAGAGGUGGUAGAUGGUCCUGGCAAAGAGCUUUCCAUGUUGACAAUACAACAGUGGGUGUCAGCAGCUAAUGAAUGCAAGUCACACUCAGAGGGUAAGUUAAAAGAUUUCCACUACCCAGGAGCUCAACUAUAGCAAUGGAAGUAUCCUCUAGCUUGCCUUUGCUGAGUAACUGUGGGUUACAACCAAGAAAUCACACUUCCCAACCCUGUAAGAAUAUUGGUAACCAUUGAUUGACACCUAUUAUGUGUCAGGCACAAUGCUAGGAACUUAACCUAUUAUCCCUAAUCCUAACAAUCACACUCAGAGGCAUAGAUGUCUUUGUAUAUGGAUACAGAAACAGGCUCAGAGAUUAAAUAACUUGCCCAAGAUCACAUAGCUGGUAAGUGGCUGAGUAUGGAAUCUGUUUUGCUCCAAAGCUCUAGUUCUUUGUUUUCCACAGUGUUUAGUGUUCUUUUGGUUUCUUUGAAAUACUAUUCAUUUUAUCUUGAUAAAAGUUAUACUCUUUAAUCCCUGAGUAGAUAGAUUUCUGCCAUUUUGUUCCUGGGAACUAUUUUCUUUCCCAUUUAAGAUGAAUGAAAUAAAGCCCCUGACUUGGCACUUAGGCUAUGGAAUAAGAAUAUAUUGGGAGGACUAAAAUAUGCAUUUUUUUCUAUUCUAUUUUCUAUAAGGGCAUAUAACAAUUCCUCCAUAAUCAUUUGUUAUGGUUUAUAAUUUCAUGAAGUGAUAUACAUAGUCACACUAAGACCUAAAUUAAGAUAUAAAAGGCACAUAAAGAUACAGAGCAACUGUGUAAUCUGUGAUGCACAAGGUGCCAUAAUGAGCCUCAAGAACAUUUAAAUUUUUAUAGUCUGCAAAAUGUUCAGCUACUAAUGAAUAAAUACACCCUAAUUAUAGUGGAAUGCACCUAGAUUUAGAUACUGAAUGUUCUGCAGUGGUUAACUCUUUGCAAGAUUUUCUUCUUUGUACAAGGGAUGCCACUGACUUUGUACUUUACCAAGAGUGCCAAUAAUGGACUACGUCCCCUAAAUUCUCCCAACCAGACACAGCUACAUGGUCAGCUUGCACAUUUACCUCUGGUUUUCUGACUCCUAGGCCACACUCCUGGGUGGCAAAUGGCAAACUCUUCAUCUGGCAUAUCAUCACAAAAAGCAUUUUUAGAGUAGUUUUGGUCCCAACAUACAAAGGGGAAAUAUAUUUAUUGUAGCACCAGUAUUCUGUUAAUGGAAAACAGUUUUCAGUAUUUAUAGGAAUUCAAAAGAAGUAAUGACUUUUUUAUGUAUCUCAGCAGUUCUUUCCUUGCCUCCCAUUUACAUUCUUUUAAAAUGAAAUUUUCAUUAUUCCCAUUUCAAUUUCUAAUGUUGCUUUCUAUGUUUAUGAAGUAAUAUCCCAGGUGACUUUAUAAUAAAUUUCCCUUCAGUCCUAUGAUUGCUCGCAGUGUAGAAAACUGAAAUAGAGUCUAAGUUAUGAAUACAGGUCUAUUUUAUAAUAAUUCAUUUUUAUCUUGAAACAAAGAUCUGAAAUUCAAUUUCUUUUCUGUCUCUAUAUAUUUUCUUUCCAUAGUCAGGAAAGCUUUCUUUAUCUUUGUUCAAUUUAAUUCUGCAUUAUAUUUGAUAAGACUUUAUGGUAUUAAGACUUGAUUUCAUAUGCAUAGCUACUUUUCUUGUAGCUCUACAAGAUAAAGGUUUUUAAAAAUAUUUACCUAAAAUAUUCACCCAAUGUCCUUCCAUGAUUGUUAUUCAUUUUGUGAUUCUUUGAUGUAAUCCACAAAAAAUCUGCAUUGUGCAUUCAUGAAGGAUUAUUUGUCUGAGCAAAUAUUAACUUUGCAUAUACAUGUGUCCUUUUGGUCUCUUAAUGAAAUUUGCUUUUACUAACUUGCAGACCACAGUUACAUAAAAGUGUCUGAAAGACUCCAGGUGGACAAAAUAAUUUCUAUAAAUGUAAAAUUUAUCAUGCCUGAAGGGUUUGGAAGAAUUUGGCAAAUUUAUAGCAAUUUCCAAAUUACAGGAAGAAUAAUGUGACAGCUGCUUGACAGCAUUCAGCAACAGUGUACAGCAAUGUAGGCAAGUGGGUAUCAUAGGAUCUUGGUGAAAUUCAAUGUGAAUUACUUAUGUAAGAACUAAGACAUAGGAUUUUAAAAUUCUGUGAAACAUCAAAUGGUCAUUUUAGUGCUGUUAGGUAGUAGGCCUUUUAGAUUAUUCAAAAUAUUUUUUAUACAUGCCAGUUUAUGAUAAAUAAUAUCUUGAAGAAUACAAAUGAAGAGGUAUGGGGAAGGGGAUUCCAUGCCCUCUCUGGGUGCACCACCCUCCAGCACCUCCCUCAUCUUUAGCUAUCUGGAAGCUCUGGAAACACUGUCCUUUUGGGUUUUUAUGGAGGCUUCAAUACACAGGCAUGACUGAUUAAACCACUGGUGACCAAUUUACUUUCAGCCCUCCUUCACUCCCCAGAGAUUGGGGGAUGGAGACAAAAGUCCCAACCCUCCAGUCAUGCCUUGGUCUUUCUGGUGACUAGGCCCCAUCCUGAAGCUCCCUAGGGGUUGCCAGCUGUCAGUCAACUCAUUAGCAUAUAAAAAGACGUCAUUUAUGCCAGGAAAAGGGGACAAAGACCAAUAUAUAUUUCACAAUAUCACAGUCAACUCCCAGUCUUCUAACGGGAUCUGUUACAUCCAAAGAAUAUAUGACUUAAAAGAUACCGGGACAUUACUAGAAUUCAUUUAGUCAUUAAUACUGUAAUUUGUCCAGUCCAUCAUAUUGUAUGAAUAUGUCUCCUAAAGUGAGGCCACUCAGGUUUGCAGGCUUCCAAAGCAGGAGUGGUCUCAGAAAACAUACAGGUUCACUCUUUCAGGCAUUUGGUAUAAUUAAGCUAAGAGACAGUGUCAUCUCUUGCUCUGAGCCUCUUUUAAGGUAAUAUAAUAUUGGAUUUCUCUCAUAUAAUUCAUUUGUUCAUUUCUUUACCCUCAGCUAUUUUUCCUUCUGUUCAUUCAUACUGAAACUUUUCUACCUUUGGAAGGGACACUAGGUUUGACUACCCUGCUUGUCUAGACUAUAGGCAACAAUCCUAGUCCACAAGUACCUCCCCCUCAGACCACUCCCAUUCAGAUAGGGUAAGGUUACACUGGGGCAGAACUAGUAGGCUAUUUUUACUAUCAAGCAAUAUAGUUGCAUUCAUUGUUAACUCCAAUUCUGGCAGAAGGCCCUCAGGAAUUCUGACAUAAGGUUUAAGAACUGUAGUUACAAAGUAAUUUGGGUCUACAUUUGCAACUACUUUUAAGACCUUGUUAUUUUGGCACAAAUGGUAAUGAAUCUGACCUUAAAUACACGCCAAAGACAAAAUGUAACUUGGACUAUAAAAGGUCCAACAUAUUUGACAAUGAUGGUGUAGAAAAGAGAUGAUCAUUUCUGGUUAUUUGAUCUGGGAACUGAAUCAGGAAACAUUACUAAGUCUCUAUUAUGCAGAUGAAUUUGUAUGUUCUAGGAACACUGCAUUCUAUGGUUAUUGACUGACAUAUACACAAAAACCCCUACUAUUUUAAAAUGGAAAAGACAUACUUCCAAUUUACUUUGGAGUUUUUGCAAAGUACCAUUUCUGUUAAUCUUAUAAUCACAGAAUUUAGCCAUGUAAAACAGGAUAUUCAUUCAUGUAUAUGUAUGUACGUAUCAACCAGCUGGCACACCAUUCAUUUAUUGAGAUCUUACUCAUAACAAGUCCUCUGUUAUAUACUGCAGAUAUAGAUAAACUAAUUCCUUCCCUCAAAGAGUUCAAUUCUAUAAGAAGAGAUAGUUAUGCAAACCCAUAAAUUGCAAUAUUGAAAAUUUCAAGUUUGAAGGUAAUGCUGAGAGGUAGGCUCUCACAGGUGUGAUAUGAAAAAUGAAGCCGUAACAUUUUGUACUUCUCUACCCUUUUGUAUCUAGGCUAACCUAGCAGAAUGUGGUAGAAGUGAUGGUAUGAAGUUCUGGAGUGUAGGCCACAAGAGACCUUGCAGCUUCCAACUUUUGUCUUUCUGGAACAUUCCUGAUACCAUGUAAAGAAGCCCAGGAAGCCGAGGCAGGAGGAUCGAGCGCAGGAGUUCAAGACCAGCCUGGGCAACACAGUGGGAUCCUGUCUCUAAUUUUAAAAAAAUGUAAACCACAAUGAGAUAUCACUGCACAUACCCACCAGAAUGACUAAAACUCAAGACUGACGGUAACAAGUGUUGACAAAGACAUGAAGAAAUAGCAGCUGUCAUACAUUGUUGGUGAGAACACAAAGUGGAACAACCACUUUGGAAAACAGUUUUGUAGUUUCUUAUAAAGCUAAAUGUAAUUUUUUUCCAUAGAACCCAGCCACUCACCUUCUAGAUAUUUUCUCAAGAAAAAUAACACACUGACACAAAGACUUACAUAUGACUAUUCAGAGCAGCUUUCUUCAUAAUGGCCCUAAACUGGAAAUAACCCACCUGUUUAUCAACUGGAGAUUGGAAAACAAUCUGUAAUAUAUUCAUACAAUGAAAUACUCAGAAAUAAAAAAGCAUAAACUAACAUACGCAAUAAUAUGGACAGAUCUGAAAAGCAUUAUAAGUUACAAAAAAGAAAGCUAGAACAAAACAUACUGCAUAUGUUUUGUUCUAAUGAAAUGAUCUAAAUGUCGAUCAUUUAGACAUUAGAGAUCAUAGCUCGAUGUAAAUGCAAUUUUAGAAACAUCUAAGCUACAGUGACAGAUGAGUGGUUCCCUAGGGCCAGAGAUAGGAAAAGGAUACUGACUGCAAAACAGUGUGAGGGAACUUUUGGGGAUGAUGGAAGUGUGGUAAUGAUUACAUGACAUGACUAUAUGUAUUUGGCAAGACUCAUCAAACUGUACCUUAAAAUUGGUGCAUUUUAUUGUAUUUAUAGUGCAAUAAAGGUGAUUAAAAAAAUAGGCACCUUAAGAUUCUUACAAAUAUAUAAUAUGCAAGUCUUGUGUGAAUCUGUUAUUUUUCCUGAGUAAAUAUCUAUUUGUAACUAUAUAAAAUUAUAAAGUUACUGGUGUUACUAAUAAAGAACUUGGGAUGGCA